GGACAAUUGGGGAAACCCUGAUCCCGCCAUGCCGCGUGUGUGAAGAAGGCCUUCGGGUUGUAAAGCACUUUUGUCCGGAAAGAAAAACUUCUGGGCUAAUACCUCUGGGGGAUGACGGUACCGGCAGAAUAAGCACCGGCUAACUACGUGCCAGCAGCCCGC
rnacentral:rRNA from 1 species